rfam:Picea glauca, whole genome shotgun sequence.
ACAUGCCUACAAUUUAGAAUUAAUGCAUCAGAUCUCAUUAGAAAUCCGCAGUUAAGUGUACUUGAGCUAGAGUAGUACUGGGUGAUUGCCCGGGAAUUCCUAGCAUUUUACAUGCC